rnacentral:rRNA from 1 species
CUUAAGCAUAUCAAUAAGCGGAGGAAAAGAAACCAACAGGGAUUGCCCUAGUAACGGCGAGUGAAGCGGCAACAGCUCAAAUUUGAAAUCUGGCGCAAGCCCGAGUUGUAAUUUGUAGAGGAUGCUUCUAGGUAGCGACCGGUCUAAGUUCCUUGGAACAGGACGUCAUAGAGGGUGAGAAUCCCGUAUGUGACCGGCCCGCACCUUCUACGUAGCUCCUUCGACGAGUCGAGUUGUUUGGGAAUGCAGCUCUAAAUGGGAGGUAAAUUUCUUCUAAAGCUAAAUACCGGCCAGAGACCGAUAGCGCACAAGUAGAGUGAUCGAAAGAUGAAAAGCACUUUGGAAAGAGAGUUAAAAAGCACGUGAAAUUGUUGAAAGGGAAGCGCUCACAACCAGACUUCUGGGCGGCGUUCCGCCGGUCUUCUGACCGGUCCACUCGCCGUCCCGAGGCCAACAUCAUCUGGGACCGCCGGAUAAGACCUCAGGAAUGUAGCUUCCCUCGGGAAGUGUUAUAGCCUGUGGUGAUGCGGCGCGUCUCGGGUGAGGUCCGCGCUUCGGCAAGGAUGUUGGCGUAAUGGUUGUCAGCGGCCCGUCUUGAAACACGGACCAAGGAGUCUAACAUCUAUGCGAGUGUUCGGGUGUCAAACCCCUACGCGGAAUGAAAGUGAACGGAGGUGGGAAGCGCAAGCUGCACCAUCGACCGAUCCUGAUGUCCUCGGAUGGAUUUGAGUAAGAGCAUAGCUGUUGGGACCCGAAAGAUGGUGAACUAUGCCUGAAUAGGGUGAAGCCAGAGGAAACUCUGGUGGAGGCUCGCAGCGGUUCUGACGUGCAAAUCGAUCGUCAAAUUUGGGUAUAGGGGCGAAAGACUAAUCGAACCAU